rnacentral:rRNA from 1 species
UGCAAGUCGAGGGGCAGCAGGUGUAGCAAUACAUGCUGGCGACCGGCGCACGGGUGCGUAACACGUAUAUAAUCUUUCCUUAACUGGGGAAUAGCUUUGAGAAAUCAGAAUUAAUACCCCAUAACAUUGCGAACUGGCAUCAGUUUGCAAUUAAAGCUCCGGCGGUUAAGGGUGAAUAUGCGCCCCAUUAGCUAGUUGGCGAGGUAACGGCUCACCAAGGCAACGAUGGGUAGGGGUUCUAAGAGGAUUUACCCCCACACGGGAACUGAGACACGGUCCCGACUCCUACGGGAGGCAGCAGUAAGGAAUAUUGGUCAAUGGACGCAAGUCUGAACCAGCCAUGCCGCGUGCAGGAUGAAGGUCCUACGGAUUGUAAACUGCUUUUGUAUGGGAAAAAACCCCUUGUUUCUACAAGGGCUGAUGGUACCGUAAGAAUAAGGAUCGGCUAACUCCGUGCCAGCAGCCGCGGUAAUACGGAGGAUCCGAGCGUUAUCCGGAUUUACUGGGUUUAAAGGGUGCGUAGGUGGAAUGUCAAGUCAGUGGUGAAAACCUGCAGCUUAACUGUAGAACUGCCAUUGAUACUGUCAUUCUUGAGGGUAUUUGAUGUAAGUGGAAUGUGUCAUGUAGCGGUGAAAUGCUUAGAUAUGACACAGAACACCCAUUGCGAAGGCAGCUUACAAAACUACAACUGACACUGAGGCACGAAAGCGUGGGGAUCAAACAGGAUUAGAUACCCUGGUAGUCCACGCCGUAAACGUUGAUUACUAGAUGUGUGCGCGUUAGCGUACGUGUCAAAGCGAAAGCGUUAAGUAAUCCACCUGGGGAGUACGACCGCAAGGUGAAACUCAAAGGAAUUGACGGGGGCCCGCACAAGCGGAG